rnacentral:rRNA from 1 species
AUACGGGAGGCAGCAGUGGGGAAUCUUGCGCAAUGGGCGAAAGCCUGACGCAGCCAUGCCGCGUGAAUGAUGAAGGUCUUAGGAUUGUAAAAUUCUUUCACCGGGGAAGAUAAUGACGGUACCCGGAGAAGAAGCCCCGGCUAACUUCGUGCCAGCAGCCGCGGUAAUACGAAGGGGGCUAGCGUUGCUCGGAAUUACUGGGCGUAAAGGGCGCGUAGGCGGACAGUUAAGUCAGAGGUGAAAGCCCAGGGCUCAACCUUGGAAUUGCCUUUGAUACUGGCUGUCUUGAGUUCGGGAGAGGUGAGUGGAAUGCCGAGUGUAGAGGUGAAAUUCGUAGAUAUUCGGCGGAACACCAGUGGCGAAGGCGACUCACUGGCCCGAUACUGACGCUGAGGCGCGAAAGCGUGGGGAGCAAACAGGAUUAGAUACCCCGGUAGG